CUCACCAGCUCUUUCUGGCCAUAUCUUGGUUGUCGAGCUUUCUUCAUCGCCUUGUUCUCUGGGACAAUGAUCCUAUUCUUAGCUUGUUAUGCUCCUACCAACGACUUCUCAGCUGCUAUGUCAAUAUUACCCUGGCUCCGAGGGUGGUUCAAAGAUCCGUAUGUGCCAUCGAGUUUUGCUCAUGCGUGGCACCGACAGUGCAAAAGGACGCGAUAUACCCACUGACCUAUUUUUUUUUUCUGUUUUCAUACCUACAAUCUUGUAAGUGUAGGACAACGUUAUAUGGCCUUGGCCUUCUCGCAAAUGAAAAAACAAAUAUAAAUUUAUUAGAGAUUUUUUAGGAAAAAUUGUUAUAUAAUAAAAUAGAUAAUAAUGUAUUGUUCAGAUCAUGAAUUAGCAAGUAAUGUCUAGAAUUAAAACAAUUAUGGAUUCCAAAUAUUAAAUUAAGAAACUGGAGUAUAGUGGAAACAUAAGAAUAGAUCUGUCAAAAAGAAAGCGGAAAACAAAACUAUGAAUAGAAACUUGAUUUAACUUCAUCAAAAAGAAAAUAAUAGAAACUAGAUUUUUGUUUAUCAAAGCGCGCGCGAGGCUUAAAAAUAGAAAAUGCGCGCGGUCCUUUAGAAAAUUUCGGAGUCGCGCAACGCAACCGUCCCUGCCCCUUAUCCGGCCACUCCCCCAUCCCCUACGCCUCAACCCUCCCGACGCCAGCUCCCCAGAUCCGCCCGUGCGUCCACCUGCCGCCACCACCGCCGCUCCUCUCGCCCAUCGGCGUUGCUUUCCUCCUCUAGUCCUCCAGCCGCUCCACUCGCCCAUCGGCGUUGCUUUCCUCCUCUAGUCCUCCAGCUGCUCCAGAAAAAUCCUUACUGGAUCCCCUGCACCCUCUCUUCUUUUGACCGCCUACCCUGAUAUCAGUCUCUGCACUCGAUUCCCCACCUCUGAGCGCCGCCACUCCCCUCUAUCCUCGACUCCUCCGACGUGCGCCUCACAUUCAGCUCCAACGACGGUCUCUCCCUCACGUUCUGCUUGUACUGCCAAAUAUUCAUUGCGGAGAGCGGGUUCUUCACCGCCAAGUUCUCAGAUCACUGGUCCAAGAAGCAGCGGGCAUCGCUCUACGACUGCGACGAUGUGGAGGUAUACCUUGAGACUCUGUUCCUCAUCUGUUGCAAGGAUCUCUGCAGGAGGCUGAUGAGGAAGGUUGUGGGCAAGGUUCUCUGCAUCUCUGCAUUUUAAUGGUACGACCUUUUUCCUUUUCUUUUGCUUUAUCAGAUAGACAAGUCGGCGUCGUCAUCUGCUCGACACGUGGCCGAUGCGGACCUGCGUUUUUUCCGUCGCUGCAGCAGAGCCGCACCAGAAGGCGAUUUCAGAGUCAAAAACCCAUUGUUGCGUCCUAAUCUUUUUUUGGUCCACUGCAGUUUUGCAGUGUAAAGCACCACUAGAUGGACUAAAUUACUUUGUAUUUGCAGUGCAAAGCAGCACUAGAUGGACUAAGUUACUUUGUAUUUGCAGCGAUUGAUACCAUUGCCGUUUGAUGCAGGUAGAUGUACAUGAAUGAUAACAUCUCUUGCCAAUUUAGUGAACAAAUCCAGCAUUCUACGUACUGUCUUGAGUACUGAAUCGUGGGAGUUUAGUUUGAAGCAUCAGCUCUGUACAUGUAUCUUGGUGUGAAUUUCUAUCGGAUAUAAUUGGUCUAAAUUAUUACCAAGUGUACUAGCAGAGUAGUUUUGGCGCGUCAGUGUAAUUUUUGCCAAAUGCUAGACGAGCCAAUGGAUUAUUUGAAUAUUUUAGUGGUUCAUAGAUGCACAUUAUGUACUCCCUCCAUUAGAAAAUGUUGGUUCUUUUAUUCUAGCAGGUCAUCUAUAGUAGCAAUUUCUUCGUUUUUUUUCAUUUGGAAUGCACAAAAAAAUCAAUGCAAUAUCUAAUGGCAUCUAGAUUUGUUGCCAGACUUGCAUCAGUUGAAAAACCAUGUCUCAUUGUUCCAGUUACUUCAUGCAAACUGGAAAUGUUCCAAUUCCUUUGUACCUGGUCUUUUAACUUGCGGAUGGAGACUGCUGUGCAGGAAGUACCUCUUCUAGUUUGUCUUGAAACCAUACAACAAUUAGGAAGUCUUCACUUAUCAAUGUAUACAUGCAGGCAAGGGUGCCAUUGCCUAAGAUUAACCGAUGGCUUUGACGAAGGGUGCCAUUUCAGUAUUCUUCAGGUUACUGAUUUGUCUAUGGUUCAUUACUCCUGCAUGCACAGCGAAAGAUAGGAUAGAGAAUGGGAAGCAAUGUUGGAGGUAGUCGGAAUGAUGGGAGCGAUAUCUAUGGUGGUGAGCGUAAUAUGAGGCCAAAGAGUAGAACAUAUUUCUCCAUGUGAUUCAACCAACUGAAGUUCUCAAGCUGGAGCCUUGAUGGUGUUUGAUGUUUUUUGUAAAAUUAUGUAGUCACUAUUUCCUCUUUUUUUUUCGAUGAAUCAUUAAUAUUUAAUGUUAUUUGGAUGCAACUCUUGUUGUGCUUUUGAUACAUUAUGAGAUUGUGCAAAAUAUAAUUCAUCUUUUGUCA